CCACCGAAGCAGAACGUGCAAACUUAACCGCUGUGCCACUGGGCCAGCCCCUUGAAUUGGUUUUUAAUUGGGAGACUGAUGUAAGAUUAUUGGUAUUUUAUUUUUCUGAGGAAAACUGUAAAAACUACCAUCUAAUAUCACUACCGCUUUCUAAAAGAAAGAAUAUUUUAGUACCAAAAAGAGACUAAAGGUCUUUUAUAGAGAAUGACUUUAGGCUGUACGAAAUGCUCAUAGUUACAUGUUUCUUUUUUGGGGAGGGCAGUCAGGAGAACCGUGGGCCAAUGACAUUGGUGCCCACUGCUGGGACCCGCCUGGAGUCCACCCAACCCCCGGAUCAUAGUGCCAGAGGGAAACAGGCGAGUGGGCUCAGGUGGGGCGGUGGGGAGUUGGAUCUAGGCAUGUGUUAGAGUACGACCUGUGCAAAAACAAAUUUAUCAACUGUCACUCAAAUCUGAUGCUCCUCCUGACCCCGCAGCUGGUGACUCACCUCCCUCCCUGAUCUUGAUGACCUCACAUCUUCAGGUUCCGUCUCCUUUAUCAGUGGUUCCCAAGCUACCACAUCAUCAGAAUCAUCUGGGAGCUUUCCAAACUGCAGACUCCCAGGUUCUACCGACAAGAUCUGGUCCAGCAGUUCCAGGAUGGAAACUCAUGGUCAUCUGGAUUUUCAGGCGCCUCAGCCUUGUGCCUCCCACCACUCGACCCUACGAAAUGACUGACCAGAAGCCGUCAGCCCUGGAGCCUGCAAAGUGGAGCUGAGAACAGGAACAGAAUGCCAGAGGAACCAGACUGAAUGGAAGCACCUAGGCCACCAAGUGAAAGCAGGGCUGGUCACAGGCUGUGCUGACGCCAGGACAACAGUAGACAGGAGCAUGGAACUGGGGGACAUGCCUCUCUCCAAGUUCACAGCCAAAGUGAACCACUUAGCUGGGAGGGGACAGCCAGGGCCGCAGCACGCAAGCACGAGCUGCACCUUCACGGGGAAAGGCUCCUGUUGGGGGAACCUCUUUGGAUGCCACCCUGGCCUCUCGCCACCACUGUGGCCUCUGCAAUCUCUCUGUCGUUCUUGCCGCCCCACCUCCAUGCUGGUCCACUCAUCCAGUCACUGUCAUCAAACCCCUCCACCUCCAUCCCUAUGCUGUGUACACAGCCCAGGGGUACAACCAGCACCUGCUGAUGGAGUGAGUGACCACUAGGAGCACCAGCUGGACCAGGGGACUCCUUGUAUGGUGGGUCCAACCCUCAGGGAGGGCAGCUGCGGGAAGGAACCGGCAGGUGUGCCUCCAGCACAAACUCCCCUCCACCCUCUCACCUGAGCACCCACUUCCAAAGGAAGACGCUGCAACGUUGCGGAAACUGCACUGACAAUAUCUGAACACCCGCGUGCAGCCUGAGGGGACUAGCUCUUGUGGAACUACUUGGGACAAAGUCUUGUGAGUUGCGAGGCAAUCAGGUCCUGCUGGCCGUGGUCUCGUUUCUCUUGGCCAGGCCGGGACAUCACUCUCUGACGAGGCUAAGUGGUUCUCCAGACGCAUGCCAAGGGGCCAAGGCCACGAUUUUGCAGUUGCAGGCUCUGAGAGUCAAGAUCCUUCUCCACUACAAUGGGCUGUGACCUAACACAGGGCCCAAAGCUCAGAGGCCCGCCUGAACGACGCCAACUGGAAACUGACAAGAAUCAGCACCUCUUUGGGACUUCAUUUAAAGAACAUGCCAUGGUUUGCUCUACUAAGGUCUUGAGGGCACUUGCUCACAUGAUCUCACCCCAUGGGGCUUCCUGUGUCCACGUGACCCCAGAAGCUGCUGUGUGCAACAGCAUCAGGUUUCUCGGCUAAUGCCAGGCCUGCACUCAGAAGAAUUAACAGGACCAUCUUAAAAUACAGACCACAAGAACCACAAUGGGAGGGAAUAUAUUUACUUUACGUAUAAAGGUUUGCUAUUAUUAACAAGUUACCACUAUUAUUUACAUGUUUAUAAAAUGGAAAUAAAAAUGACAUACAUGUUUGGUGCCAAAAGCGGCACAUCCAAACUAACAUCAGUACAAAAA